GGAGGAUUAGCUCAGCUGGGAGAGCACCUGCCUUUCACGCAGGGGGUCGGCGGUUCGAUUCCGUCCCCCUCCA
rnacentral:tRNA from 1 species